CUGGUCUCCAGGAGUUCCCAUUCAAAUAUGCAUCACCCUAGGGUAGGAGAGGCGGUCGUCUGAAGAUUGAUGUGUGCAAGGAUGACGAAACAGCUGUGCAGAUGUGACAAGUCAAGGACCCUGAGAUGGAGAGCUGAGCCUGGAUUAUCAGGUGGGCCCAAUGCACUCAUAGGGUCUUUAUGAGUGGGAGGCAAGGGAGUGAGUCAGAGAAGGAGACGCGGUGACAGAUGCAGGCAUCAGAGUGAUUCCACGUGAAAAGGACUGGACCAGCCAUUGCUGGCUGUGCAGAUGGAGGAAGGGGCCAUGAGCCAAGGAAUGACGGCGGCCUCCAAAAGCUGAAAAAAGCAAGGAAAUGGAUUCCCCCUAGAACCAUCCAGGAGGAACACUGCCCAGUUGAUGCCUUGAUUUUAGCCCAGUGACACCCUUUUUGGACUCUAGCCUCCAGAACUGUAAAAUAAUAAAUGUGCAUGUUUUAAGCCUCUAAACUUGUGGUGGUUUGUGACAGCAGUGACAGGGAACUAAUACUCAUGGUAUGUGCAGGGAUGCCCAUGUGCCCCGCAGGGAGGGGUGACUGUGGGAGCACAGAAGAGCCCGGGGGUCAGGGGAGCUGCCUGGAGAAGAUGCCUGGGCUGAGCACUGAAGGGUGAGUAUCUCCUGGGCAAGCCCAGAGGAAGGGCGUGCCAAGGAGGCAAAAGAGG
rnacentral:lncRNA from 1 species